CAAAAUAAGAUGGAAAUAUACUAAGCAUCUGUAACAUUUCAGGUGUAACUGGAAUUUUAGGAAAGAUAUGUACACCCCGACAUGCGUACACACGCAAAUACAUACACAAACGUAACAGCAUGGGUAGAUUAUGAACCCAAGUUCGGGUGCUCACCUGUCAGGCGCUCCAUGACCUUGGGCAUCCCAUCACUGACUCAACAGGGUGGACCCUCACACAUAGUCCUGCGCCCUCAUAAAAUAUGAUCUCUGCAGUCGCCUCUUCAGAAUUCUCCGGUGCGGUGCCACGCCACGGGGGUCGCCUCCUCCUAACCCUGGGAACCACUCAGCUUAGCCUCGGCCUCAGGUCGGACCGAGAUCCGCGGGCAGAGAUAAGCGGUGCGCACGCGCAGUCCGGCGGUCUCAGAAUUCUCCCGGCGGGCUGGGAGCGGCGGCUUAGCUUUGGGACAUCCUAGGCCAGACCGUAGCUCCCACAGUCGACGAGGUGUCUUCAACCUCAGGUAUUUUUUUCCGUGUCCCUUGUUGCGCGCUGCGCGCGAGUGGCACCCUUCCAAGGAAGAAUCCGGCAUGGGUCGCCGCAGAAAUGACUGUGCACAGGUAGCCCGAGCCCGAGGAAGACGGUGAGUGAAGGUUUGCUGUUUCAGACAUCAACAUUCAGGGAUGUGGCCAUACACUUCUCCCAGCAGGAGUGGGAAUGUCUCAACCCUGUUCAGAAGAACUUGUACCAGGAUGUGAUGAUGGAGAACUAUGAUAACUUGGUCUCACUGGGACAUUCCAUUUCUAAGCCAGAUGUAAUUUCAUUAUUGGAGCAAGGAAAAGAGCCAUGGAUGGUUGUGGGAGAAGAAACAAGAAGAUGAUGUACAGAUUUGAAUUCAAGAUAUGAAAUCAUGAGCUAUGAAAAUGUACAUAUUUAUUAAAAACCUUCAUCUCUUACUGUGCAUCAGAAAAUUCAUACUGGUGAGAAGCCCUAUGAAUGUGACAAAUGUGGUAAGGCCUGUAGUUGACACACAGACCUUAUAAUACAUCAGAGAAUUCAUACUGGUGAGAAACCCUAUGAAUGUAAGCAGUGUGGAAAGGCCUUUAGUUGUUCAUCCAACUUUCUGCAACAUCAGCUAAUUCAUAGUGGUGAAAAACCCUAUGAACGCCAUGAAUGUGGGAUGACCUUUAGUCUUAGUAUAGGUCUUAGGGAGCAUCAUAGAAUUCAUACUGGGGAGAAACCCUACAAAUGUAAGGAAUGUGGAAAGGCCUUUAGUCAGGCCUCACAUCUUGUUCAACAUGAGCGAAUUCAUUCUGGGGAGAAGCCCUAUGAGUGUAAGGAAUGUGGGAUGACAUUUAGUCAUGGCUAUCAACUCAUUCCACUUCAGCAAAUGCAUAUCAGUAUAAAACGCUAUGAAUGUCAUGAAUGUGGGCAGGCCUUUAGUCAUGCUUCAGCACUUAUUCAAUGUGAGAGAAUUCAUACUGGUGAGAAACCCUGUAAAUGUGAAGAAUGUGGGAAGGCCUUUAUUAAUGGUGGAAGGCUAAGAAUGCAUCACAUAAUUCAUACUGGUGAGAAACCCUAUGAACGUAAAGAAUGUGGGAAGGCCUUUAAUCACCCCUCAAACCUUGUUAGGCAUAAGAGAAUUCAUACUUUAGAGAAACCACAUCAGUGUGAAAAAUGUUGAAAGGCCUUUAGUCAUGUUGAAAGCCUUAGAAUGCAUCACAGAUGUUCUCAUCACACUGGUGAGAACCCCAUCAAUGUAAAGAGUGUGAGUAGUGGACAUCAACUAAUUAUACAAAGUAGAUUUCAUACUGGAGAGAAACCCUAUGAAUGUAAAGCAUGUGGGAAGCCUUUAGUGUGUAUGAAUGACUUACUCGACCUCAGUGAAUACUUUCACAGUGGUGAGAGACCUUUAGAAUGUAACAAAUGUGGAAAAUCCUUUAGGCUUAGUUCAGGCCUUAAAGUGUAUCAAAAAAUUCAUACUGGAGAGAAAUGUUACGAAUGUAAGGACUGUGGAAAAGCAUAUAUAUGCAGUAGAGAAUGUAUAGUAAGUCACUGUAUUUAUAACACUGAGAAAAAUUUUGAAUGAAAAGAACAUGGGAAAGCUUUUAGAUACGGUUCAGUUCUUAAGGCAUUAAAUAAUUUAUACUGGUGAGAAGCCCUCAGAAUGUAAAUAAUGUUUCAGAUAUUUUAGUUAUGACCCAAAUGUUCAAAUUCAGAAAUUUACAGUUUAUGUUUUUGUAACUCAGAAGGCCUUUACUAGCAUCUCUCUAUUUAUGGAUUACCAGAAUAUUUAUAAUGGAGAAAAAUUCAGAGAAUGUAGAAAUGCCCUUGUUUUGUAUGCUCUGUUUAUAAAAGCUCUAUAGCCCUAGUCAGUUCUUGUUACAUUGGAAAAAAACUAAUGCCAAAGAAAAUCCUUGUUGACUUAACAAAUCUGAAAAAAAACCAUCCUGAUUGCCAUUUGAUUUUUAGAGCCUGCGUGCAAGAUAUCUAUCCCUGUGGGAGUCUUUUGUAAGUGAUCAUAAUAGUACCUACAUUAUAGUGCUGUUAUUGAAGUAUAAGAAACAUGGAAAGCUAUCUCAAACAUAGUAUUUAUUCAGUAAGGGUGUGGUGUGUGUGUGUGUGUUUAGUUGCUAAGUCGUGUCUGACUCUUGCGACCUCAUGAACUAUAGCCCACCAGGCUUCUCUGUCCAUGGGAUUUCCCAAGUAAGAAUACUGGAGCAGGUUGCCUUUUCCUUCUCCAGGGGAUCUUCUCUACCCAGGGAUCAAGUAUCUUGCAUUGGCAGGCAGGUUGUUUACCCCUGAGCAGUCUGGAAACUUUAUAGGAAGCAGUCAAUACAACUAAAAUUAUUACAAAAUGAUACUCAAAAGUUUGGGUUUUUUCUGUGAAAAGUAAUGAAUACAUCUGAAAAUAUAGUUUAAUAAUUUAGAAAUGUAACAGUAAUCUUGAAACGGUUUUUUAACUUAAAAAUUUUUCUAUUAAAAAUGUUAACAUCAAAUAAACGUUGGUGAAUCUGGUCAAGAAAAAUUAUAAAUGUUACAUUAUAGCAUUGUUAGUAAGAAAGGGGAUUUAGCCAUAAAUAUGGAAGAAGAAAAAAUCAAAGGAAAACAACUCUUUUUUAAAAGGCAGCACUAUGGCACAUAGUCAGGUAAGACUUAAAGAAGGAAAUGAUUUCUAACAGUCUUUCUAGCUCAUUACUGUAUGGAUUACAUAAUUAUAACAAGUCUAUUAGAAUAAUAGGCCCUAAAAGUCAAAAGCUAAAUGAAGUUUCCUUAUGAAAUUGAGCAUAGAAAAUCCAAAUAUAUUACCCGCCAACUAAAACAGAAUCUACCAAAAGAAUUAUGUAAUUAAAAAUCAUUUAUCUAGAAUAUUCAAAACUUAACUAUUCUUGUUUGACUUUAAAUCUUGAAUGAUUUAAUCCAAUAUGAAGCAAUUGAUCUAACACUUUUUAUUUAUUUAUAAUUAGAGGAUAAUUCCUUUGCAGUGUUGUGGUUCUGCUAUACAACAAAGUGAAUCCGCUAUGUGUAUACGUGUAUCCCCUCCCUCUUGGACCUCUCUUUCACCCCGCACCGUCACACCUGUCUAGGUCAUCACGGAUUACUGAGCUGAGUUUCCCUGUGCUGUACUGCAGAUUUCCACUAAGCUAUCUGUUUUACACAUGGUAGGGUGUUUAUGUCUCCAGUCUGGUACUUGCUAAUGUUAGAGGUUAGCAAAUGAUUGCCCUGUGAGCCAGCCACCUGUUUUCUAAGGUUUUAUUGGAACACAGCCAUAUUCAUUCACUUACAUAUUAUCUAAAGCUGUAACAGAAAAUGUAUGCCCCGUAAGCCUAAAAUAUUUACUCUUGACCUUUAAGAACAAGUUUCCUGAUCUGUGAUCUCGAUUCAUUUGUUUUUCUAAUAUUAAUACUAAAAGGAACCUCUCUCCCACCCCCUCAACACACCUACCUGACCAUUUUUAAAAUCAGGAUACCUACUUUCAAACACUUCCAACCAGAUAAAUGUCAGAAAUUAGUCAUUUGAAAUACCUUCCACUUUUUUUUUCUGGCAGUGUCAAAGAAGUGCCAGCAGCAAAUCAUAUUGGUUUUGAUAAAAUAUUGUGUAUUUUUGCAUAGUUGGUAUUCAGUCACAUAGAAGAAUUGUUAUUUGUCAGAUAAGAAUGAUUCAUGGAAAUUACAAAUUAUGCAUUGUCAGCCCACCAUCUGUGAUGUCAGUGUGAUUGUCCCUUAUAACCUGUACUUCUCUAACCACUUGUUGCAGUUGGGGAAUCCACUAUCCUAUUCACCAUCUGAUGGUUAACAUCAUUGUCGCAUACAUGCUUUGUUGUUGUUUAGUCACUCCAUAGUUUGACUCUUUGCGACCUCAUGGACUGCAGCACGCCAGACUUCCCUGUUCUUCACCAUCUCCAUGCUUAGGUUUUAGAAUUAAAUAUAAUACAGGACAGAAUAAUUUGAGUUCUGUAAUAAAAUAAGCCUGCAAUAGGUCAGCAUGGUACUUCUCCAAGUUACUAUAUACAUAGUAUAUAAUACAUGUAUUGCUGUUAAGUCAUUCAGUCGAGUCCAA